GGGGCCACCAAUUUUAGUGAAUUGGUAAGAAUGCACUGGACUUACAUGGUCUCAAGGAGUCGUGGUCUGACCCAGUUGACACCCUUUGGAGUCAAAAGUCACCCAGAAUUAGGGGAGCAGAAACAACAUGUGAUUUGGUUUGCAGAGGCGGGUGGAGCUCAGAGAGGCAGAGAAGAUGAGGACAGUUCACGGGAGGCCCACCUGCACUUCCUCAAUUAACUCCAUCAGAUUCCCUAAUCCCUUUCAAGAAAACUCCUUCUCACUUGCAUUUUUUGAAUGGGCUUCUAUUUAUUACAACCAAAAUAGCCCUGACUGAAAUUUACAAGCAUGUCUUACCCACCAGACUGGGACACCAUCUGCAGUCCUAGCAUCUAGUGUGGUUCUAGAUCAAUAGCUGAUUGUUAAGAGUUGAAUGAAUGAAUGAAUGAAUGAACCAAUGAAGGGACAAACAACACAGUCAGGCCUGUCCAGGCCCUCACCCUUUGCCAGCGUCCCUGCAUUCAGCCUCAGUCACUUCCCCUGGCCCCUGGUGGUCUUUUGGUUGGAAGAAUCCUCCCCUACACAUCCCAGGAUCCCAAAAGGCCAGAGGAAAAGAAGUCAGUUGAGUUACAGAGCCUGGAGUUCCCAACACACAGGGAUGUUGAGAAAGAAACUGCAGAUGGCCAAAGCAUCAUCACAGAAGACACGGUUAACCCAGGGAGGCUGGCUGUUUCCAGGGCACAGGAAAGGGCACCUGCUUUGUCGAUGAGCCAAACAACGUGCUGCCGAUGCCUUACACAAGGCAUCCUGUGCAGGUCCUGAGCCUACUGGCCCUCAGCCACUUCCCCUGCCAGCCGCAUUUCCCAGCCUCCUGCUGGGUGGGUCCAGCCAAUGGAGGCAGUGGUGGGAGAUUGGAGGGUGAGAGACAGGGAGAAGCUGAGCUAUUUCUCCUCCUCCCUCUCUGCCUCAGAUAGCACCCCGGCAAGAGCUGUGUGUGGCCACUGGACCAGCCCCCUGUGGGUCGAGCCCCCACCUGAUGACCUGACCCCUGGGCUUCAGUAACACCACCUCCUCCCUGCAGCCCCCCAGCUCACAGUUGUGUUCCUGCUGGUCUCUGGAUUGCCUCGCCCUCCCCCACUUGGCCUCCAAGCUCUGCCCUCACUUGUGUAACCAAUUCCCUGUAUUAAAGUAGCUCUGUUUGAAGUUCUCCAGGGGUUUCCAUUCCCUAGCCAAACCCGUGUGGUUGGUAUUAUUUCCGGGCUGCAAUGAGAAAACAAAACUGCAAGGAGAAGUAACUUGCCUCUGGUUAUACCGCUAGUAAGUGGCAAAGCUGCAUUUGAAGCCAGCUCUGUCUGACUCAAAGGCCACGUUUCAUCUGCACACCCCCUUCCACUGCCCUUGGGCAGCCAUCCACCCUCUAGGGGAGCUGGCCUCAGUUCCACCUGUACUGGUGCUGCCUUAGGAAGGGCUCCUAGCCCCCUCUGGAUGGGAGACGCCAGGCAAUUUAGCAGCUGUUUCCAGGCACCGUGUUAAGCCCAGACACGUGGCCCCAGUCCGAAGCUCUGUUCCUAAUGUUGGAAAAUGUUUGCCCUGUUUCUUUCCUGCAGACCGUGAGAACAGGCUGUUCCAACGAGACUUGAAAAGCUGCCUUUGGUGGACUGACUUCCCGGUCCCCUCAAAGAAUGUCAGUCCUGAGGGUCUGUAAUCCUCUCACUCCCAAAGUAAGAGCCUCCCUCCCACUUGGCCACGCCCAGCCAGAGGCCUGAGGACCGCAGCGUGUAGGAGCCAGAACCGCGGAGGAAAAAGGCCAGGGGUGAAGCUGAGGCUCACGCACAUCCCCAGUCAUUACGAACCGUCAUGCGCUUUACAGAAGGGACCACAUUCUCAUACCUGUGAACGCUCCCUUACUUGUUAAACUAAAAAAAUAUAUCCUCCUCGUCAUUCCCCUCAAAUAAUCCUUUUGUACAACGGUACAGUCAUUUUUCUCGUUUGCAGAUUGUCAGGAGCUCAGGGUCUUUCAUGUAUUUGCUCUAAUGAGUCACAUUAUUAGAUGGUCAAAUUGUCAGACUUGUCGUGUGAACACCUUUAGGAUGCCCCUGGCAUCCUUGAAAGCAUUCUUCCUUUCUGGCGACUGUAAAGAUGAUCCAGAACUUUCUGUCCUGAUUUCCUCUUGCCUCAACACAAGAAAUCUGUGGAGUCCUGAUUCCAUUAAUAGAGAACAAGUGUUAAAGAUCAAAAUCCGGGCUGGGUGCGGUAGCUCACGCCUGUAAUCCCAGGACUUUGGGAGGCCGAGAUGGGCAGGUCACCUGAGGUCAGGAGUUCGAGACAAGCCUGGCCAACAUGAUGAAACCCUGUCUCUACUAAAAAUACAAAAAUUACAUGGGCAUGGUGGCGGGAGCCUGUAAUCCCAGCUACUCGGGAGGCUGAGCCAGGAGAAUCGCUUGAACCCGGGAGGUGGAGGUUGCAAUGGGCCAAGAUCGCGUCAGUGCACUCCAGCCUGGGCAUCAAGAGCAAGACUCCAUCUCAAAAAAAAAAAAAAUCAAAAUCUGGCUGCACUGGGACUUACUCCUGGUAGUGACAAAGCUGGAACAUUUCUUUUUGAGAUUAUGAAUUUAUAUAGAUAGUUUCAAUUCAGCAUAAUGCCUCUCUGAACUUCACUUUAAAAAAACAUAUAGGUUAUCAUUUCCAUGAUCAAGACUUUUGGUUCCCCAACAGGACCAAGGCGGCUUGAGGAAGAAUCAAGGGUAGUAUCGGCUUCAGGAAGUAACAAAGCACAGGCAGGGUCCUCUGCGAAGUGAUGCAGAUGAAACCCCAGGAAUGAAUGACACGCUCAGUACCUGCCAGGCACCGCUCUGAGAACUUCAUCCGCAUUAUGUUACUUAAUCAUCACGGCCCCCUGCCAGGAGGAUCAUUAUGCCUGCUUUACAGAAAAGACUUACAGGUUAAAGUGCCUAAGGUCCUGCAGUCUCCAAACCUGGCCAAUCCACCCGCAGAGCCCAUGCUCUGAACCACCGCACCACAUGGCCAGGUGAGGGCCGUCUCGGUCCCCAAAUGAGCCGCCUACGCAUACACUGCCAAGCCUUUGCCCACGCUGUUGGCUCUCCCCUGCUGUGCUUGGAACGCCUACUUGACCUUCAAAUUCCAGCCUGAGUCCUCCACCUCCUCUGUGCUCCUGACUCCUUGUGCAUCUCCACACACAUUAGAGCUGUGUGUGUGUGUGUGUGUCCCUCAGGGCACACACGCAAGGGCAGGUUCUGCGCUUCAUUCAUUUGCAUCCACACUGCACAGUGCCUGACACACAGAUGGUGCUCAAGACAUACUUGAUGAAGGAAGAAAGAGGGAAACCUGGAUCUCAGGUAGCUCAGGGAAAUGCUUCUAUCACCUGGCACGAGCUGAGGGAUCCCCGCUCCCGCCUGUCAUUUUAUAUUUAUUAAAAGGGACCUACCCCGUCUCCUGCUCCAUGCAGCACCUUAAAUAUUAGGUGGCUGCUUUUCUCAAAAUGAGAGUCUUUCCUGCUAAGGAAAACAAUAGCCUGAUUUGCUCCUGUCCUCAAGAUUUCUGGUAACAAUCUCAGAGGUCAGCGAGGAAAACUGGAGUGGGGUAGAGGGCCAAGGACUUAUAGUCUCCUUCAGGGGCUUGGGGGCUUGGGAGAAACCCCACAAACCCAGCAGGCUCUUGCUGGCUGGCUGGCUGAUGAUCAUGCCCUCUCUCUCUCUCUUUCUCUCUGUCUGUCUCUCUCUCUCUCUUUCUCCCUCUCUGUCUCUCUCUCUCUCUCCUACUCCCUCUUCCCCUCCACUUCUCUCUUUGUACCUCUUGCCCUCCUUCUUCUGUUUUCUCUCUCUCUCUCUCUCUCUCACACACACACACACACACACACAGACACACACACACAAACACACACACACACACAUAGAGCCUUGGUAACUAGUGGUUACAAAAAAAGCCCAAAUUCAGCCACAGCCACACUCCGUCAAAUGAGAAAUCCUCUGCUAAUACACGGGCAUGACAAGUUUCUUCCAAAGCAUCUCAUAUGCGUUGCUGUGCAGUCGCCAGUGAACGUGAGUCCAGCCGCCUGCACCACCGCCUUCCCGUGCGUAUGCCUCGGAGCAUUGUUCGUCAGGAUUCCUCAGAUGGAAAAGUUGUGAACAUUUGGGCAGUGCCAGGGCUGGCGUUGCAGAGCCUGCUUUAAUGAGUGCAUAAUUAACACCGUGGGCUUCUGCCAAUGGCCAGCACUUAAGUCCUUGAAAACAGUCUGUUCCCUGAAAUAGGUUAAACGCCCCUCCACCGCCACUGCUACCUCGUUUACACCACUGACUCAGCCACAAUGCCUAUAUAUGUGAAGAAAAAAAUCCCCAAAGAAAUUAUUAGUGUUGGCAUAGCAACAAUAUGUUAAUUGUGUCUUUCCUAAAGCAGGCCCAGCAGGACCACCACCCGGGGUUGGUCCAGUUUCUGUGCACUUUAAAAUAGAAGAAAACUGCACUCUUCUGACUAGGUGCUGUAUUGCAGAAUCUCCCCACCAUGUAACCCAAGUUAAUAAGGUUUAGGUGAUUUUUUAAUGCCUCCAUGCUAAAAUAGAAAAAAAAAAAAAAAAAAAAGCUAAGACUUGAUCCAUAAAACUAUCUUGAUGUCAAGACAUUGAACAGAAAAAAGAUCAUUGUUGUCUGCCUUGGUCCUCCACCCCCGUAACUUCUCUGAUGCAUCUCUGAAGCCUAACUACUCAAUGAAGGAGGGCUCCUGAAUUUGCGGAGGUGAACAGCUUAUGACCAUUAUUACACUUUGGGGUGCAAACGAUAAAGAUCCCAACUCAAAUGAGCUAACCAGGAAAGAAGAGUGUUGGCUGCUUAGAAGGACAUCCAGAUGGGGGCUUCGGGCUAGUGGACUGCACAGUUUGAGGCUGUAACUAAGGGCUUGGCUGUUUUCCAGGUCUCUGUUCUUCCAUUCUCAGUACUGAUGGCAGAAGACUGGGCCCCUAUGAGCACCACUACUAGCAUCCCAGCAAAGGAGGAGAGAGAAACAGAGACAGAGGGAGAGGGACAGAAACAGAGAGAUAAGGAGAGCCAGAGAGAGAAGGGAUCUGGCUUCUCAUCCCUCCACAAAUGGAAGAACAUUUUCCCAGAGACUUUCAGCAAACCACUUCCUGCAUCUCAUUUUAUGGCAGAAUCAGGUCACACAUGCCCAUUCCAGAACUAGUCAGUAGCAAGGAAGAUGGGAUUAUUCUCCCCGGCACCGGAGCACUCCUUGAACUGAAGGUGAUUGUUCAAACUAAAGUCCUACUGUCCCCUGUGCCAGGGGCGGACUGGGCAUUGGAGAGGCCACUGCUGUGUUCACCACAUGAGCACAUAUAUUCUACCACUCUUGCCUCCAGCUAGUCAGGCUCAAGCUUGGGCUCACUCACAAGGGAGCCCACAAAGCAGUGGGAGCUUCAGAGGACGGAGUCCAGUGAUCCUCCUUUCGCGUGGGGAAGUGGCAAAUCCACUCUUUAACACGGCUCUUUAAUUCUCAGGGAUGACGGGUGAGCCUCUCUGGGCAGGAGCACUGGG
rnacentral:lncRNA from 1 species